rnacentral:lncRNA from 1 species
GUAAUGUCAACAUAGGAAGUGAUAAUUUUGGUCGACUUUUCAAUACCGUGAGUUGCAAGUAAUGUUUGGGCUUUUAAGAAAUCAAGCUCCUUCAUACACAGUUGUGUGCGUCGGUGUGAAAGAAGAACAGAGGAAGUAAACAACGUUGAGGAAGAACUUUUGCUCCUCACGGUAUCAUUCAUGGGGAAUCCUCAUAGAUAGUUUGCCAACUUUCAAUUAUGCACAAAACAAAGCACACAUUAAUUAAUACAUGAUCAUAUUUUUAUAGGGAAUAUGGCAGAAACUGGAAAAGAAAGAGACUCUGAAAUAGAUAAAGUGAAAGAAAAUGAGGAGGGAGAAGAAAAUGGUGAAACAAGUCUUACACAGGUGCCAAAUAAAUCUCUAGCUGAGCUAAACAUGUUGCUUGUAUCCCUUUCCUUGGUUUCCUUUUCUGUUGAUGAUGACUGCAUGGAACAAGAAGAGAGUGAGCAUAAUAAUGUAAAACAUAAGGUUUCAGCAGCGAAAACUACCAUUUCAAGAUUACAAACUAUGAAUGGAGAUCUUCAUGAGCCCAAGCUUGCAAAGAGAUCAUCAACUGCAAGAUUAAACACUACCAUAAGAGACUGCAGGCAUGGAAGAAAAAUGUAAUAUUUUUCUACUGCAGAGGAUUAAGAAGUCAACACAGAUAACAGAGAACUACCAAUUUAAUCUCCAAUACAAAUAAUUUAUUUGAGUGUUCAAGUUUGCACAAAAUUCUACCAUAACUAUUCCAGAUGAGGUCGAUUAAGAAGAACCAGCCCUUAUAGUGAACUUUUGUAACAAUUUGUAUCAUCUUGAAUUGUGUAUUACAAUCAUCAUUCAUCAUGCAAUCAAUAUACCAAAAUAUCACAUAAGUUUUGUUAGCCUAGAGUUGAAAGACAGAAAAUUGUUUUGUCUGCAGUUAAGUAGUUACUAGCUAUAUAGCAUUUGUAGUUCAACAUAUAAACAACAAAGUUAAAUGACAUGGUUAUUCAUUCACAAAGCA